rnacentral:rRNA from 2 species
GCAUAUCAAUAAGCGGAGGAAAAGAAACCAACAGGGAUUGCCCUAGUAACGGCGAGUGAAGCGGCAACAGCUCAAAUUUGAAAUCUGGCCUUACGGUCCGAGUUGUAAUUUGCAGAGGAUGCUUCUGGCGACGUGCCUUCCGAGUUCCCUGGAACGGGACGCCAUAGAGGGUGAGAGCCCCGUCCGGUCGUGCACCUAGCCUCUGUGAAGCUCCUUCGACGAGUCGAGUAGUUUGGGAAUGCUGCUCUAAAUGGGAGGUAUACGUCUUCUAAAGCUAAAUACCGGCCAGAGACCGAUAGCGCACAAGUAGAGUGAUCGAAAGAUGAAAAGCACUUUGAAAAGAGGGUUAAAUAGUACGUGAAAUUGCUGAAAGGGAAGCGCUUAUGACCAGACUUGGGCUCGGUGAAUCAUCCGGCGUUCUCGCCGGUGCACUUUGCCGUCCCAGGCCAGCAUCAGUUCGCGCCGGGGGAUAAAGGUUUCGGGAAUGUGGCCCCCUAGGGGGUGUUAUAGCCCGUUGCGUAAUACCCUGGCGUGGACUGAGGUCCGCGCUCUGCAAGGAUGCUGGCGUAAUGGUCAUCAGUGACCCGUCUUGAAACACGGACC